GAUGAACGCUGGCGGCGUGCUUAACACAUGCAAGUCGAACGAAGCACUUUAUUUGAUUUCCUUCGGGACUGAUUAUUUUGUGACUGAGUGGCGGACGGGUGAGUAACGCGUGGGUAACCUGCCUUGUACAGGGGGAUAACAGUUGGAAACGGCUGCUAAUACCGCAUAAGCGCACAGCAUCGCAUGAUGCAGUGUGAAAAACUCCGGUGGUAUAAGAUGGACCCGCGUUGGAUUAGCUAGUUGGUGAGGUAACGGCCCACCAAGGCGACGAUCCAUAGCCGACCUGAGAGGGUGACCGGCCACAUUGGGACUGAGACACGGCCCAAACUCCUACGGGAGGCAGCAGUGGGGAAUAUUGCACAAUGGGCGAAAGCCUGAUGCAGCGACGCCGCGUGAGCGAAGAAGUAUUUCGGUAUGUAAAGCUCUAUCAGCAGGGAAGAUAAUGACGGGACCUGACUAAGAAGCACCGGCUAAAUACGU
rnacentral:rRNA from 1 species